GAGGAUAUAGCUCAGUGGUAUAGAGUGCUUGUUUAGCAUGCAUGAGGCCCUGGGUUCAAUUCCCAAUACCUCCA
rnacentral:tRNA from 1 species